CCAGUGUGAGAAGAGGUUCUCCCGCCAGCACCAGCUGAAGAUGCACCUGAAGGUCCACACAGGAGAGAGGUCGUUCGCCUGAAGGCAUAUAUAGAUUCCUGGGUUGGAACCAACAUGCAGUACCUCCAGCAGGAAGAGAGGCACAAACCAUUUGUCUGCCAGCUCACUGACAAGCUACACUAUUCACAGCCCUGUGUAAUGUUCAAUGUAAUCGCAUUACAAGACCUUUUUAAACUUAAUGUAUUUAUAUUGUUUUAAAAAUGUACAAAUAAAAGGAAAUGUAUGGUUUAAACAUG